CUAGGCAUGAUUAUUCAUAUAAUUAUGAAGUAUUAAGAGGGAAAUAAUGGAUUAAUAUAAUUAAGAGAAGGUUAGUUGGAAUAGAAAGAUGUUGGUUAGAAGCAAACCAAAUGGCAAGGUGGUAAUUUUGGUUUAGUUGAGGGGCACAUUGGACCUUAACCUUAUAUUGCAUGACAUGUGAUUGGUUGGUAGAGAUACACCAUUCCAAAUUCAGAAUUUUGUGAACGAGAAGUGGAGAGAGAAGUGGAAGAGGUCUUGCACCUCAUUUCAAGUUCCAUUUUCGUAUUCUAUGGACAGCUCUCACUAAUCUGAUCAUAACUCUCUGCUCACAACUCCGAUUCAGAAAAACGAGUUUGAAGUUGGAAGGUCCAUGCUGAAUGUGUGUCAAAGAUUGGUUACGGGUUUGAUCAUGUUAGAGGUGAAGUUUUGGCAUCAAUGGAAGUUCAAUGGCUGCAUGAUCAUCAUCCUAAUCUCUCUAAAUCUAAGGUGCGGUUUAGUAGCAUUUGGUCAGUAGCAGGUUUGGACUGAAGACUUGGAAGUGGUGAUGGCUCGGAGACCUCGUCAGAUCUCAUUCUCCGCUGUGCAGAUCCAUUGAAGACACGUGUUUUGUAAUUCUUAUUAGGAUUUCAUGUUGUAUUUUAUAUGGAUCUUUCUAUAACUUUAGCUUUUGUAUGUACUCAAUAUCAAUUUAUAACGUUUCAUGCAUAAUAUACUAGUCAGUUAUGUAUAGGGUGUUACAAUUGGUAUCAGAGCAGGUCGAUUCUCGGUCGAGCCAAGAGACAUCACUAGCAAUUCCUUUCUUCCUCACAUGUGCGUGUUGCUAGCCUGAUUUUACUGAUAUCUCAUUAAUUUUUUGAACUUGAUCAACUCAUCGACUCAGUGUGAGACAGUAGAAUUACGGAAGAGCCGCCAUGAGGACUCGUAAACUUGUAAGUGUCGUGAACCCAAGUAGCAAGGAUUAGUUGGGUGGUGAAUUGUAUAUGGAAUCUGGAUUUAUUGGAUGACGUAAGUAGAUGGGAUAUUGGAGUUGUCAUACUUAAGAGGAGCGUUUGACGCAAAGAAGUAAUACCCGAACAGUCAAGGUGUGGAUCGAGACAACUAGAACCCCUAAGAUUUUGACUGGACGGAGUGCAACUUUCUCUAAGUCUUGGUAAUAGCAAGGGAAAUCCAAAUAGGAUUGAGUAGGAGCCUUGUAAGUGAGAUUCUCCGAAGGUGUUGAGCUAGGGAUUAGUAGGAUUCAGUACCGAGGAUGUUGCCGGUGUUAGGUGUGACUGAUGAGCCGAUAGGACAUAAUAACCUUUGGAAGUGCGGACACAGAAGUCAGACCUUUUUGAUUAGGCUGGUACGAACAGUAAUUGGAUGGGUGAAGUAUUAGAUCCUAAUUUAACUCGAAGUACCCUAAGCGAGAGUAGUUACCUAGUAAAUGUUGGUGGAAGGUACGAGUGUGGCAACUUACGAUUGGGCGAGGUUUGAAUACCCAGUCGAUAGAAGAGGAUAUGUAUUUUUGUUCUUAUCAUUUUAUAUUUAAGUUCUAGAACUACGCUAGAUGGAAUAUGAAAUGAUGUAGAAGCGUGAAAUGCAGUAACCUAAUUUCUUGUUAGUUGUUGUUCGUCUGACCCCGAGUGAAUCCAUAGAACUACGCUUGGCGUUGGGUGUUCAGGCGAGUAAGAACUAAGAUCUAUCUGGACUGAAUUAUCCUUGGAAUCUCAUGCAUGCGUGGGACGAGUGGGUACGCGCACUGCAUGGUAAUCCGAAGUUGAACUUCAAAUCUUCAUGCUUGGCGUUUUGGCUUUCCGAGUAAGUAACUUUGAUGUGUAGCACUCUCAGGUUUUAGCAUCCUAAGGAGUGUGAUUCGAAGGACUUGAGGAACGAUGAACCUAUUGGAGGUCUGUUCAGACACUUAUCGGUUGUGACUUUAGGAUACGUGUGGAGAUCGUUAUACGCCACAGAGGUAGGUUACCUGGAUACAUGGCCUCGGAGUUGGACCACCAUGUUGGUACUACCAGACGGGUAUAAUGCCACAGUAUCACUAUCGUGCACAAGAUGCGUGAGUCAUCCUUUUUGCGACAUGUGUGGGACAAAGGUGAUCUGAAGCUCAAGGUAGAAUUUUGAUUUGGCACUCGUGAGACACAGAUCUAGACUCUCAUAAGGUAUGUGGGAUAAGGAUCCAUAUGUCUCACUCGAUAGUAUAGGAAUAACUAGACAGGCGAUGGUGAGAUGGAUCAAGAUCCAAUACUAUACUUAUGGAGACUCUUAGUGAUCAUGAUCGCGUGAGUUAGUAUCAGAUUGUACCUUGGGGACGUUCUCGUUUCGUGACGUGUUAAGUUGGCAAUUCUACAUGAGUGUCUAUAGUGAGACUCAUGUGCGGUCAUGAUAUCCUGGUCAGCAUAGUGAGUGGCUAUCAUGUAUCAUUGGCAACCGGUGAUGGAAUAUGCGAAUUGCAUCUUGGACUAGUUUGAUAUGUGACGUAUCUGGUAGAGUGUCUGUAGAUACUCUGAGUGAAGAAAUGUCAAUCUUGGUAAAGCAUAGACAUUUUGGUUUGAGAACUUCUGAGGAGUCUAUAAGAGAGAUGUUCGAAAUACAAAGUGCAAUUUCUUGCAUUGUGGCUACACUCAGACCGUUGGGAGCACUGCAAUGAAGGAUGCAACCGUCGAGGAAGUCAGUUUAGUGUCUGAUUCAGAGGUGGAACAGACAUUAGAUGACUGUGUGAAUGGAGUGUGGCUAUGGGAGGAUUGUUAUAUCAGUAAGUCGCACGAGUUAUCAGAGGUGAUACUACGCUAAGAGAAUGAAGCUGUUUGGUUGGGAAGAGGCGAUGUUAAAUUGAUAGAGUUAUAGUAAGCUGCAUACGUUAUGAAGGAUUCGUUAUACCGGCUAAGCAGCCAGACUUGUUGGAAGGGGUAAAACAUAGCAGUUGUACGUUGUGGAAAUCAGUUACAAGGACAAAACCUCUAAGUCAGUGAGUAUUUGGGUUUCAAUGUCCUGAGAUCGAAACGUGUGCCUAAGUUGUGGUAGAUGAACUAAUAUGGAAUGGCAGAGUAAGUAGAAACUUAAUUCUGGAGAGUAUGCAACUUUGAGGAGUAGUAGUCGACGAUGGAUGUAUAUGGAGUUCUGGCACGUGUUGCAAUUGGACAACUGUAGAUAAGCAAUUAUUGUGUAUUAAUGGAAACUAAGUGAAUUAUGGAUAUAACGUGACUCAGAGGAUUUCAAGGUGUGUGACUUGUUGGAAUCAGAGUAGCGCAACAGAUCAAGAAAGAAUCAGAUAAGUCUGAGGUAGGAACGAACGAACUAUUGGUAGGAUUUUAUGUUGGGAUGAAAGUAUCUUCCUAAGAGAAAUUGUCGAAGCAGUGUUUCGUUCAUUCCAGUCUCUCGAGGAUCCACCAUAAAACUCAAGAGGUGUUGUCAAUGGGCCAGCUGGGGAACACAUUUGCUGGAUGGCAUGUUGUCCGAUGUUCGUAGAGAUCAUCAGUUGAGCUUGUAAAUCACAAGGGUUGGACAUAGUAUCGUGACUGUGGAAAUGUUGAAGGCUAGAGAGGAAAUUCAGUUGGCGUAAGUUCUUUGUGGUUAUGCCUUGUGUACUAUGAUUGUACAGGAAGACUGGUACAAUGGUUACAGGUCAGUUGUUGAAUUUUGCCUCUUAUCAGUAGAAUCUUAUGUGAGGUUGUCGAAUGUCAAGGCUAUAGUUGCAAGAUGAUUAUACCUUCGCGGUUUACGGUGACAGCUGUUAUGUCUAAAUUGGAGUAAGGGUUAAAGUAAGGAGAUUCAGUUGUAUAAGUAAAGGUAAAUUUGGGACAAUCAUCCUAAGACUUUGGGAACCAGAGGUUAAGACCAAGGAAUUUGGAGAUCACCUAAUGACAUUGUAUGGACUCGAGUGGAGAAUAACUUGAAGUGUUAUCGCAGAAGCGACGUUGUGGCGGUAAUCCUCAAGUGGGAAGUAAUUCAAGGAGCUGAGUGAAUCAGUAAUGUUUGUUGAACGAGGGUGAACACACCAAAUAAUGAAGCGAAGGAUAUCCGACAUGAGUGGGUUAUUAGAGUUUUUGAAGUUUUGGAGAUUCAGUGCAGAGCAGUGAAGGUCAAGGACCCUGGAAGGAUCUUUCCCCAGAUAUGUCAAGACGAAGUAUCUGAAUAGACGUGUUGCUUGAGAGUUAAGGUUCUAAUCAUGUAUAGUGGGACGCAAGUAUUUUUAGCAGAUUAUGUUUCUACGUAUGGAAUGACCCUCAGGCAGAGUAGUGAAGCUACCUAAAGGAGAAAUGUAAGUAACAUUUCGUCCCUUGUUGGGAUAAUUUGGAAAGGUUAUUUCCCUGGUGAUCAGAUAGAAUUCGAGGACGAAUUCAAUUUAAGGGGGGGAGAAUGUAAUACCCCAUAUUAUUCUAGGCAUGAUUAUUCAUAUAAUUAUGAAGUAUUAAGAGGGAAAUAAUGGAUUAAUAUAAUUAAGAGAAGGUUAGUUGGAAUAGAAAGAUGUUGGUUAGAAGCAAACCAAAUGGCAAGGUGGUAAUUUUGGUUUAGUUGAGGGGCACAUUGGACCUUAACCUUAUAUUGCAUGACAUGUGAUUGGUUGGUAGAGAUACACCAUUCCAAAUUCAGAAUUUUGUGAACGAGAAGUGGAGAGAGAAGUGGAAGAGGUCUUGCACCUCAUUUCAAGUUCCAUUUUCGUAUUCUAUGGACAGCUCUCACUAAUCUGAUCAUAACUCUCUGCUCAUAACUCCGAUUCAGGUGAUUCUCAAAUAUUUGGAUUCUACACGGAAUUCUCUUCGAUUUGGUAUAUUAUUUUGUUCUAAUAGCUUGUUUAUUUGUGGAGAAAAACGAGUUUGAAGUUGGAAGGUCCAUGCUGAACGUGUGUCAAAGAUUGGUUACGGGUUUGAUCAUGUUAGAGGUGAAGUUUUGGCAUCAAUAGAAGUUCAAUGGCUACAUGAUCAUCAUCCUAAUCUCUCUAAAUCUAAGGCGAGUCCUUAGAUAGAGACUAUGCGGUUUGCAUGUUGGGGUUUCUAUUUGGGGUUUAGGGAUUGUGAGCAAUUAUAAAUCAUUGAUGCUAGCUAUGUUUGAUUGCUUUAGUCCUUGCAUGUUAAUGUUCCUAAAUGUAUUUAUAUGAUGCAAUUUCGUUGGGACUGUUUUGCAAGUGUAGGGAAUCAAUUAUAGGGUGUUUGGAACUGGUUUAGAGCUUUUAAAAUGCAGAAAAUUGAUUCUGCUACAGGGUAUUCGUUUACGGGUCUUUGGGGUAACCGAUUACUCUGUUAAAAUGCAAUUUUGGACUGUUUUUAGUGCCAAUAAUCGGUUACUGAGUUUGGGUAAUCGGUUACCCUGGGCGCAGAGGAAAAAAAACCAGCAACUUUAGAAAUUCAUAACUUUUGCGUCGUAAGUCCGUUUCGCGCAAACUUUAUAUCGUUGGAAAGCUAGCGACGUGUACUUUCUAAUAAAAUUGGUCUCUAAACCAAAAUAUUUGAUUUAAGGGUUAAUGAACUUUUUCGUCCCUUUAAAUAUUUCAAAUUUCGUUUUUAGUCCCUCCAAAAUUUUCCUUCAAGAAAUCGUCCCUUCAAAAUUUUUCUUCCGAACUAUUGGUCCCUAACGUCAAAUUUCGUAGCUAAUCGGUGGCUAAAGUCGUAGCUAAUCUCUAGCAAAUUUGAUGUUAGGGACCAAUAGUUUAGACGAAAAUUUUUCAAGGGACGAUUUCUUAAAGGAAAAUUUUGGAGGGACUAAAAAUGAAAUAUGCAAUAUUUAGAGGGACUAAAAGGUUCAUUAACCCUUGAUUUAAUAAUAUAAGAAUCCUUCUUAGUGAGACUUGUCUAUCGAGUAUGUGUACAUACUAAGGUUUUAUAUGACCAUGGGUGUGUUAAUUUUGUUACAUGUGAAUUAUGUAUAGUUAGACUGAAUUAACUUCAUUAUUCUUAAUUUCUAUAUUAUGCUGAAAUGCGAAUUCUAUAUUUUGAUGAGAUAUGAACAUUCUAUUAAUGCCCGUUGUUUCGGUUAAACAAUUGGGAUUGUGUGCUUGCGUGUUUGGCGCUUGAUAUCUGUGAGGGC